AUAAUUAAUACUUUACCCAAGUUUUGAUGUCUCAGUACAGAAAGGAGAGAGAAGAUAUCAAAUACACAGCCAAGAACAUUAGGAGAAACAAUACUAAGGAAUUUAAUAGUUAUUUUCUCCCUUUUGUGGUGGGAAAUAUUAUCUCAAUUUGGUAUUUCAGCUGCUGACAGAGUCAAUAAUUCAGAUCUACUUCAACAGUGUAUAGAAGCCAUGACUUCUUGGUGAUGUCCUUCUUAUAUCAACAGUAUUAGUUUACAUUUUCCAGUGGUAAGCCAACCAGCUGUUGGUUUCUGGUGCAACUUUCUCACUCACAACAUGAGCUAUUAUUCAGCAAGGCAGCCAAAAUCCAAUUGUUUCCAUGAUAAAUCCUGCCCACAUCUGAGAUUACACAUCACAGUUGGAACUGUGAUUUUAUAACCACUAAAAAGCAGAAUCAGCCAACGUGGUUAGAAGCUCAGCAGUGUGGUCUCUGUUCUCACAGCAGUAUCUGUACCCAGCCCCAGGCACUGCUGUGCCAUGGGAGAGAUGCUGGACAGGCAUCCUGCAGACCAUCCAGAAAAGUCAGCUCUGCCAAAGGGCACAGCUGGUUUAAUAGAGCCCCUCCACUGCCUUAGCAGGAUUAUGGGAUAAUCCUUUGCCUCAGGGGUCACAGUUCAUUUUGCCAUCAGAAACACAUUACUGUCAGUCUAAACUGUGGGAUUACUGCUGCCUGUAUCACACAGCCUGUGAAACCUAACAAAGCACAGAUCAGAAAUUAUAAGAAUCUCCCCCAAAAAGGCAUAAUGUAAAAAGGACCAGUUUACAUCCAGCCAGAUGGCCCUCCUGGCAGUUCAGCUCCCAAGGUUUGCAAAACCUCUCCUCCAUUGGUAGGCUUGACUAUGGCUCUUCAUUUGUCCCUGAAAGCCUGAAGAAAUAAAUCCCAUUUGGUUCACUGGAAAUUUGGAUGUGUGAAGAGCUGCAGUUUUAUCAACAACAGGUUUUCCCCAAGACAAGCUGUUAACCACAGCAGGAUUAGAGCUUCUGGGUGGAAGUAGAAAGGGGAAUGGGGGGAAGAAAGGAAAGACUUUCUUAGUAAGCCAUGAGUGUAAGUUGUGCAACAUUACCAGGUCUGUGAAAGGCUCUAAAAUGUGCCCUGGCUGACUUGCUCCUCAAAUUUUGCCCUCAGUUAGUCAGGGGAAUUCUGAUUCACUGAUUGCUCAGGGUAUGGUGGUUACCUACAGGCUGCUUGAGAAAACUGACUCCCUACAACCUCUCAAGAUGUACAUCUACAAGAGAUUGGCUUUUUAUCCCACAGGCAGGAAGAGGCAGACUAUUCUCUUCAUCCCUCAUCCUGGUGUACCAGAAAUCCAGAUUGAAGCAAAAGGAUCUCAUAUAAUCUGACAAAUUCCCGUGAACUUCAUAAAUAUUCCAUUUUUAUUCUUCCAAAUAAUUCUAAUAAUAUUCUUAAUAGGUCUAAAUUACUGCCCUCUGUACAACAGCUAGUGCUACAGUAUUCCUCCUAUAGUUAUCUUGGUUUUUCCUUUCCUUCCAUGCAAAGUGCUUAAUUUGACACUGCUUUAGCCUUCAUUCCCUCUCUAAAGAGAUGCACAGAUGCCAGAACUACCAAAAGCAAUAUCAGAAGUGGUGCUUUACUAUGUUAAUAAGGAUGAUUUGGCAGUGAAUAUUGCACACUUUUUCCUCUUCUUUUCAGUCAGACCACAGGUUUCAUCAGAGGAUGUCAGUAAUGCAAAUUUCUACCAAAACCCAAAAAACCAAUUUCUGUGAUUUUCUCUCUGAAGGUGGUCUUUCAUUUGGGCUAACUCCAUCUGCAUGUCCCACAAAGCCACAUCACAAUCUGGCAUCCAGACUAACAGUGAGUAACAUCUAGACACGUAUGGUAUUUUUUGGAGCAACCCUACAAUAUAUUUUCCUUACAGCUACUUGGGACCAACCACAGCCACAGCCCGUGGCUGUGCUGCAGUGAAACCCCACAGCAUUGCUCCUGGUGGGCACAUUGCCUGAUCUGUCCUGGACCCUGCUGACACUCUCAGGCAUGGGUCCCUGCCCUGGCUACGUGCAAAUCUUCUUCAGUGCUCUCUCAUCCCAUCUAGUGAGCACCUAAGCUUUGGUACAUAAAACGGUAACACCCUUGUAGGGAGUAGGUGUCAAAGAAGAUACCUCUCCUUCACAAACAUAAGAACAAGGAGAAUCUGUGUCCUUGGCCAAGUACCUGCAUUCUCCUAUCCUUUUUAAAUGGUAAGAUAAAUGUCAACUGCAUCUAUUAUUAAAUGCAAGGUAAAAAUAAAAGGCUUCUGCUGCAUGCCAGACUGAUUUUAGGUCAUGGUCUGCUGGUGAUGGUGAUAUAUUGCCUUGCAAUGCUUGUCGAGGAAAAAAAACCCAGGUAUUACUCUACAGUCCUGAGGGUCAAACUUGGUUGUGUUUUUCUCUAAUAUAGUGGCCAGGCUCGUAUGAAUACAGUAUUUUUCAGGUACCACAGUCACACCCCAAAACCGUUCAGCUAAGAGAUAUUUUGGUAAUUUAUGGCUCAGCAGCUUCUCAUAAGGCUUCACCUCAAAGCCUUUCAUCAUCCUUGUAGGCCUGUCCUGAAAGGUCUCCAACAACUUUAUAGCUUCCUUCUGCUUUAGCACACAAAAAUGGACAAAAUGUCUAAGGUGAGGCCACUUGAGUGAAGGGCAGAGAGGGACAAUCCCCUCCCUUGCCAGGUCAGUGUUUCUAGGUCUGCUAUCAAUACCCCUCAAGACAUGGGUGACACUCCUGCCUGCCAGGGCACGGCUAAAAUUUCCAUGUCAGUCAGUACAGUGAACUCAGGAUUUCUAGACUGAGCCUAGACCUCUUUCUGUUUCUCUUCCAUCCUGUAUGUAUUUGUGUCAAAUCACUUCAAAUAAGUGAACAAAUGGGCAUUGGAGUGGAAAAGAAAAGGGUUAAGUCCUCCUUGUCCUGCUCUUCCUUCUGGGUGCUCCUUUCCUGUUUCAAGCACAUGAUGUUUCUCUGAAGAGACUCCCAGAAGAUCCUGCCAGUUUUGUCAUCCUCCUUCUGUGUGCUGCAAACCCUGCUCUCUGCAUUGCACAGGUCAGCCCACUAGUGGCUCAGUGCCUCAAAUAUGAGAUGUGUCGCAAAAUUGAGGAUGCCCCCAUCACUGACAGCUGCAGGUAUAGACACCAUGCACUACCUGAAGCCACAUCAGACUUCAGAAGUUCCAACCUUCCUUGCAGGGCUCUGUGUGUGGCUCCAGCUCCAGCAGCUGCUGGCACCAAGCCCUGGGGCACAUCCCUGCCUUUGCUGGGCAGCCUCAAGCAGGGCCACCCUUGACUGAGCACCAUUCCUACACAGUGUGCUCCAGCUUGCCAGAUCCCUGGGAGCUGGACCUCUUCUUUGGUUGCACUCCCCUGGUAAGGAUUCCUCUCGAGAGGCUACAGAGGCUUUGGCCCAUGCUCCAAGCUUCUGUUCCUUUCCUUGACAUGCUUCCUCUGCCCUGUCUCAGGUGACUGCCUGUGCUCGUUCUCUCCCUGCUCUUGUUCCCUGGGCAUGGAUCCAGUCUUAGCCUUCAGAGACUAGUUCUGUCCCUUCUGAGCCUCAUUCUCCUUGGCUUGGAGACCUACAGCUCUUGAAGGGACCUUGGGAUUGGCCUGCAGCCGCAGCAGCCGCAUCACAGAACUGCCUUUCAUGUGCUGCUCCAGCUCCAUAUUAAAACUCAAGGCUCUGCUGACUGGAAAGCUCUUCCAGAGCCCUGUACUUCUGACAGUUACUAGUCCACUUCAAUUUUCCAGCCUCGGUCUUUUUUCCUGCCUCUUUAUGGACACUUGUUGUCGUACCAACUGCUUGUUACACAGGGUAAUUCUUUCCUGAAGGGAUGCUCUCUUCUUUAAUACAAAUAUACAAGGAAUAAGGAAAGCAGCCCCUUGCAAUGGUCCAAAAGUAGAGCAGGAAUCCUUGGCACAGCCUCUGCUCCUGCCUACAGGCAACUUACAGAUAAGGCAGUGCCAGCCUUCUCAGAGGUGGGCAAGGACAAGAGAGAGCAGAUGUCAAGAAGGGGUUCAAGCUGCACCAAGGAGGUCGAACAUUAGGAAGAAUGUUUUCCCCAGACAGGGGGAUUCCACAUUGGAAUGGGCUGCUCAGGGCUGGCUGGAGUGGAAUCCCUACAGUGGGAGGUGCCCAGGAAAGGAAAACCUGGGUGUGGCACUCAGUGCCUCGCUCUAGUUGCGGUGCUGGGGAUGGAUGCCAUGGUCUCCCAGGGCUCUUCCAAGGCAAUGCAUGCCGUGCUUCAGUGACAUCACAGCCCCAGGCACAGCACGAUGGCUGGCAACUGCUGCCAGCCCGUGCCCACAGCCAGGACAUACCUCAGUGCACACACAGCAAGGCCUGAGGCUGUUCACUGCUGGUCAAGCAUGGAGGGCCAGAGCUUCCCCUGGAUCCUGCCGCUUGCGCUGCUGGUGGUCUUGGGACAUCCCCUGGACACUUCUGUCUGUCCUGCUGUGAACACAGGCACCUCAGCUGUGCUUGAUGAGACCCUGGAGCAGUGGGACUUGAGCCCAGAGAUGACUCCCUUGAGGCGCGUGGAGCUGACUUCUUGGAGAUUCAAAAACCUGGACCUGCUGAUGGUGGCCAUUUCACUUGGCUGGUGGCUGUCCAGAAGCCUCUGGAGAUUCUGGGGAGAGGUCAGGGAGAGAAGGAAGUCAGGCAGGAGGAGCAGCCAAGCCCCCCGGCCUCUACAGGGACAGGCUACCAGGGACACAGCUGCUGCAAGGAAAUGUUCCAGCUGCUGAGGGACAGCCGUACCCUGAUGUGGCUGUAUCUGCACCGUCACCCUCUGCAGAGGCCAGGAGAAAAGAGACCAAGGAAAUGGGGCCUUUGGAAGAGGAGGAAAAUCUACUUCUCCCCUUGACGGUGUCUCUCCAGCCUGGCUCGCCAUUUGCAGGGCAUGCUCAGCCCAGGCACCUCAACAUCCCCCACUCUUAGACCUAGCUAUAGAGUUCCCAGCAGUCUGCUCCCCCAAAAGUUGCAGUUUUUCAUAGAGUUCAAGUUCCCAAGAGCUGAUGUAGUCUUAGGCAUAGCAUUCUCUCCCCUGUAGUCUUCACACCCCCUAGCUGUAGCUCUUGAGAGCAGUCCAAAUCAAUAAACUUCUCCUUUUCUCUCCA